rnacentral:rRNA from 1 species
CAGCAGCCGCGGUAAAACAGAGGGUGCGAGCGUUAAUCGGAUUUACUGGGCGUAAAGCGUGCGUAGGCGGCUUUUUAAGUCGGAUGUGAAAUCCCUGAGCUUAACUUAGGAAUUGCAUUCGAUACUGGGAAGCUAGAGUAUGGGAGAGGAUGGUAGAAUUCCAGGUGUAGCGGUGAAAUGCGUAGAGAUCUGGAGGAAUACCGAUGGCGAAGGCAGCCAUCUGGCCUAAUACUGACGCUGAGGUACAAAAGCAUGGGGAGCAAACAGGAUUAGAUACCCGCGUAGUCCCUGUCUCUUAUAA